AUCUGAUUCUUAUUUUUUCUUUUAUUGUACUUACUUUGGAUAUAAUUUACUCUUCCUUUUGUAGUUUUCUAAGGUGGAAGCUUACAUUAUUUGUUUUAGGUCUUUUUAAUAUAUUAAUUUAUUACUGUAAAUCUUCCACUGAGCACUGCAUUCAGUGCAUCCCACAAAUUCUAAAUAAUUGCAUUUUAACUUUCAUUCAUUUAGUUCCAGAUACUUAACAUUAUUUUGAGAUGGCUGCUUGGACCCAUGUGUUCUUUAACAAUGUAUUACUUAAUCUCUUAAGUAUUUAAGAAUUUUUUUGCAAUCUUUCUAUUAUUGAUUUCUAAUUUAAGAACAUUAUGGUCUGAGUUUAUAUAUUAUAUUAUUUCUAUUCUUUCAAAUUAAUUCAGGUGUGUUUUUUGGCCUAGAAUUUACUCUAUCUUGGUGAAUAAUAGUUUCCAUGUCAGCUUGAGAAGAAUUUGCAAUUUUCCAUUGCUGGAUGAAGUAGUUUCUAGAUGUCAAUUAUGCUCAGUUUAUUAGUAGUGUUGUUCAGUUUCAUUAUGCCAUACUUAAUCUGUGACUGCUGAAUCUGUCCAUUUCUGAGAUGGAGGGACAUUUCAGGCUACAAUUUUGGACUGUUUCUUCUGCUUCCAGGCUGAAGGGUAUUGCUAAGGAAAUGCCGAGGAACAAUAAAAAAUGUUAAAUCUUGAAACCAUCUGGGUUCUUUCUGAAAGUUUGAAAUUUGAAUUUAGGUAAGUCAAAAUGAAAAAGUCUAGGAUGCUCUUGUGUUGCUAAGCAACAUUGCUAAUCUGAGAUCCUAUAAUCCAAUGCCAUGAAAAAUUUUUGUCCACAAUAAAUGUGCCCCCAAAGCAAGUGAGUCAGCAUCAGCUAUUUAAAGAGUUUGUAGGGAACUCAUAAAAGUCUCCAGUGAAGGUGAAGUUAUCAUCAGGCUAUUUUGACUGUUUUUUGCAAUGCAAACUCUUAUACCUUCACUCACUGAUCCCCAAAUCACAUAGUCAAGGAGAUAAAAUGUAUCCUGUUCCAUGCUGUAAAAGUAUUAAAAAUAAAAGGAGAGCAACACCUCAAUUUGCAAACUAGGGGUCCAUACCUUCAUGAACAGGACAGAAGUCCAUGAUUAGAGUCUAUGAAAUGGAAAGUUGAUGUCUCAUCUGGAUCACCUUAUCAGACUGAAGACUGAAGAGCAAGAACAGGAUGAGAAAGCAUGCCCAUGCUCUUAUUCCUGGAAAUGUUCCAUUUAAAUUCAAUUUUUUUUUUUUUUUUUUUUUUUGCUUUUGGUCCCAAAGAACUGGUUUGAAAUGGAAUUUAUUGAAGAUUUAUUGAAGAACUUUCUACUCUCUAUUUAAUGAGUCUGGUCUAAGUGAAAUUUCUGAGAAUUAUAAGAAAAUGAUUCAAAAUAGUAACUGGACUUCUUCUCCAACUAUGAAGAUAUAUGUUUCUUUAAAAGCCAAAAAUCUUUGACUUGAUUUUCUAUAGGGUUAAGAAGAAGGAUUGAUGGUGACAAAUGACACAGCAGAAAUUUCUCUUCUCAGAUAAAGCACCUGGCAAGAUUGAGAAGCUUAACAUGGAUAAUGAUAUUUACAUCUACACAUUUUACUACCUUCCUGAGCUAUUCUUAAAUGAAGAUAUCAGAAUCUGUCAAGAAUUGGCCUGACAGUUGUGAUAAGAUUUAAACGAAGUAGGGAAGGUCUGUUAAGUACUAUAAUUAAAUUAAGCAUGAAAAAUACUUUUGGAUUUUAGAGUUUAAGAAGAGUAGAAAUUAGAAGUUUAUUAAAGGACAGCAGAAAAGACUUCUCCCGGAGGAAGAAGGGGACCCAAGAGGUGGAAUCCUUCCCUCUGUUUUUGUAGAAGAAUUUUGUUUUACUUUGUAAUGAUCAAAAAUAUCAAAUGAGUCUAGAAAAUUUGAAAACAUCAGAAAUAUUUAUGAAAAAUAAAGGUUCUUUAUGGCAAAAAUGUAAAUGGAUAUUUUCCUUCUGGUUUUUAACUCUAUCAUUAUAAAAUAUCCUUCUUUUUCUCUA